rnacentral:rRNA from 1 species
GUGUCAGCCGCCGUGGUAAUACGUAGGGCGCGAGUGUUGUCCGGAAUUAUUGGGCGUAAAGAGCUCGUAGGCGGCUUGUCGCGUCUGCUGUGAAAUCCCGGGGCUUAACCCCGGGCGUGCAGUGGAUACGGGCAGGCUGGAGGCAGGCAGGGGAGAACGGAAUUCCCGGUGUAGCGGUGAAAUGCGCAGAUAUCGGGAGGGACACCGGUGGCGAAGGCGGUUCUCUGGCCCUGUUCUGACGCUGAGGAGCGAAAGCGUGGGGAGCGAACAGGAUUAGAAACCCCUGUAGUCC